GCUCCGGUAGUAUAGUCCGGUCAAGUAUUUCGGCCUUUCGAGCCGAAGACCCGGGUCCGAAUCCCGGCCGGAGCACCA
rnacentral:tRNA from 1 species